rnacentral:rRNA from 1 species
UACGAAUGGGGCAAGCGUUGUUCGGAAUCACUGGGCGUAAAGCGUGCGUAGGCGGUUUUGCAAGUCAGAAGUGAAAGCCCAAGGCUCAACCUUGGAAUUGCUUUUGAAACUGCAUUACUUGAAUCCCGGAGAGGUUAGUAGAAUUCCGAGUGUAGAGGUGAAAUUCGCAGAUAUUCGGAGGAAUACCAGUGGCGUAAGCGGCUAACUGGACGGGCAUUGACGCUGAGGUACGAAAGCGUGGGGAUCAAACAGGAUUAGAUACCCUGGUAGUCCACGCCAUAAACGAUGUGUGUUCGUUGUCGGGCUUAAGCUCGGCGACUAAGCUAACGCAGUAAACACACCGCCUGGGGAGUACGGUCGCAAGAUUA